rnacentral:rRNA from 1 species
AGACAGCAGUAGCCGCGGGAAUACGUAGGUGGCGAGCGUUGUCCGGAAUUAUUGGGCGUAAAGGGAGCGCAGGCGGACAUAUAAGUCCAUCUUAAAAGUGCGGGGCUCAACCCCGUGAGGGGAUGGAAACUGUAUGCCUUGAGUGCAGGAGAGGAAAGCGGAAUUCCCAGUGUAGCGGUGAAAUGCGUAGAUAUUGGGAGGAACACCAGUGGCGAAGGCGGCUUUCUGGGCUGUAACUGACGCUGAGGCUCGAAAGCCAGGGGAGCGAACGGGAUUAGAUACCCGUGUAGUCCCUGUCUCUUAUACA